AACGCUAGCUACAGGCUUAACACAUGCAAGUCGAGGGGCAGCAUGAAGUUUGCUUGCAAACUUUGAUGGCGACCGGCGCACGGGUGAGUAACGCGUAUCCAACCUGCCCCGUACUCGGGAAUAGCCUGCCGAAAGGCAGAUUAAUGCCCGAUGUUCUCCCCUGAUGGCAUCUGAAAGGGAGCAAAGCUAUUGCGGUACGGGAUGGGGAUGCGUCCGAUUAGGCAGUCGGCGGGGUAACGGCCCACCGAGCCAUCGAUCGGUAGGGGUUCUGAGAGGAAGGUCCCCCACAUUGGAACUGAGACACGGUCCAAACUCCUACGGGAGGCAGCAGUGAGGAAUAUUGGUCAAUGGACGCAAGUCUGAACCAGCCAAGUAGCGUGCAGGAUGACGGCCCUAUGGGUUGUAAACUGCUUUUAUGCGGGGAUAAAGUUUGCCAUGUAUGGCAUUUUGCAGGUACCGCAUGAAUAAGGACCGGCUAAUUCCGUGCCAGCAGCCGCGGUAAUACGGAGGAUCCGAGCGUUAUCCGGAUUUAUUGGGUUUAAAGGGUGCGUAGGCGGGAGCGGAAGUCAGCUGUGAAAUUUUAUGGCUCAACCAUAAACUUGCAGUUGAAACUCCGUUUCUUGAGUACACAUGAGGUGGGCGGAAUUUGUGGUGUAGCGGUGAAAUGCUUAGAUAUCACGAAGAACUCCGAUUG
rnacentral:rRNA from 1 species